rnacentral:rRNA from 1 species
CAACUUUCAGCAAUGGAUCUCUUGGCUCUGGCAUCGAUGAAGAACGCAGCGAAAUGCGAUAAGUAUUGUGAAUUGCAGAAUCCAGUGAAUCAUCGAAUCUUUGAACGCACAUUGCGCCCGCCGGUAACCCGGCGGGCAUGCCUGUUCGAGCGUCAU